CCCACAGCAAAUUGAAAUUCCCUUGAAGAAUCUCCCUUUCUGAGUAAUGACUGUAAAGGCAGCUGAAGUCUUCAGUCCUUUGGCACGCAACAACCAAACACCUGUCACACACCUUCAAACCAGGGAGCGAUGCAUCGAUCACUGGGAAAUCAGCCGUGUGGCUGAGUUGGUAGAGCACGGCACUUGCAACGCAAGGGUUGUGGGUUCGAUUCCCAUGAGGACCAACAUCAAAAAUAAAAAAACAAGAACAAAAAAUAUACGCACUCACUACUGUAAGUCACUCUGGAUAAACUAGGACAACCAUCUCAGUAACAGGUGCAGUAAGUACAAAUACUAACAGAUUGGAUUAGUUUAUACAUUUGAUGUUAUUUAUCUUUGUGUAGCAUAAGAUUAAUCAACCAAUCAAUGUGCAUGCCAAAACACAGACAUUGAAACAAACAAUUCUGAAAAUCAACUUGCAAUAGAGCAUGCUGGGAAAUAUGAUAAUGAUGAGUGUGUUUUUGAGUGUUUUCCUCCACACAGAUAAAAAUGACAAUCACACUCAACUCUGUUUAUUAAUACCAACACAGGGUUAUUUUACACUACUGAGUAUUGAAUGUAACUCCUGAAUCAACACUAGACAUUUUACACUGAAAAAUCAACACUAGGCAAAACUUGCCAAUUUUCUGUGUACCAUACUAUACAUUGCUGGUUCACUCAUACUCCCUUCUAUUCUUCUACUUUCUGCUCAAUAAAUUCACAGAAAAUACUCAUUUGAAAAACAGAAAUCAUGGCAAAGAUAUCAACUAUGUCAGUACUGUAUAUGUAAAAUGAUUAAGUGAAUACCAGAUACAGUACAUGCAUAAAUAUUCCCAUAUAUAGUUAAAACAAUUCUCACAGAUAUCUUUUUAAACUUAGCUGAUUACUCAAACUCCUGGUGUUGAAUAUUAAAAACUGGUUUACGUUACUCCAAACAUUAUUGCUCAGGCACAAUUUGAAAAAAUACAAUAAAAUAGCUUAUACAGAUUCAGAAGGGUUCUAUGUAGAAUGCUUCUUGCCUUCCAAAGAAUCAUCAAAGAACCCUUUCUUCAAAAAUCGGCUCUUAGGAUGAAAAAGGUUCUAGGUUUAACUCUUUGCCUAACAAAGAACCCUUGUCUUCCAAAAAGGGUUCAUUCUUCAGAUGUAAAAAGUUCUUGGUAGAACCCUAUCCAUCUACAAAGAACCCAUUUGGAACCUUUUUUUCUAAGAAUGUAGGUCAUGGCACUACCCAUGAAUGUGUGACUGUGAACUCAUACAAACCCCCUCUGGCUUGAGUAAAUCAACACGCAAUCACUUACACUAUACACAAACUGCAAUUGAGCAACAUUCUGCCUCGCUCGCUCCCGCGGCCGGCUCGAAGUGCACAAACAGGCAUGCUGGGGUUCGGAACAGGGAGAGGAGGGG
rnacentral:lncRNA from 8 species